rnacentral:rRNA from 1 species
GAUGAACGCUAGCGGGAGGCUUAACACAUGCAAGUCGAGGGGCAGCACGAGGUAGCAAUACUUUGGUGGCGACCGGCGCACGGGUGAGUAACGCGUAUGUAACCUACCCUGUACAGGGGGAUAGCCCGGAGAAAUUCGGAUUAACACCCCAUAAUGAUAUUGAGAGGCAUCUUUUAAUAUUUAAAGCUCAGGCGGUACGGGAUGGGCAUGCGUAACAUUAGCUAGUUGGUAGGUAACGGCCUACCAAGGCUGCGAUGUUUAGGGGUCCUGAGAGGGUGAUCCCCCACACUGGUACUGAGACACGGACCAGACUCCUACGGGUGGCAG